AGGGCCCAAGCCAGCCAGGAAGGAGGAGGCAGCCUGAGUGUUCUCUGCAGCAGAAGACCCCUUGCUGCCCUGCUCAACCCAGACCAGCAUUUGCCAGCUGCUGAGUCUCAGCCCAAGUGCCUCAGGGAGCAGCACCUGGCCAGACUCCAGCAGAAGAGACUGAGGGAAGACACUGGAAGGUCCAGAUAAACACACGAUUAUGAGGAUUAACAUCUACAAGUGACUGUUGAAUUCCACUGUUCUCCAAGCCAGAAACACCAUCCCUUUAAUUUAUGAGCUACAGAAGAAGCAUUUCAAGAGACUUAGGAUCAGAAGAUCAAGCAAGUAGGGAUGCACCAAACCAGAACUGCAGGAGAUGUGUCUCCCCCUCUCCGCAUUGACACAACGAAGAAAUGCAAGAUAAUAUAGGAGCAUCAAGCCAACACUACAGAUAGAACCAUCCAAAUGAAAUAUGCUUCACUUACCUAGGUACCUAGGAAGCUGCCUUAUCCUGAGUCAGACCUUGAUCUUUCUAACUCAGUAUUGUAUACCCUGGCUGGCAGCAGCUCUCCAGGAUUUUGGGCAAAGAUAUUUCGAGCAAAGACAUAAUUACAUAAAAUUAUGUUUUAUAUUGUU